rnacentral:piRNA from 1 species
UGAGUUCUUUGCAGGGGGCCUA